rnacentral:rRNA from 1 species
GACGAACGCUGGCGGCGUGCUUAACACAUGCAAGUCGAACGGAAAGGCCCUGCUUGCCGGGUACUCGAGUGGCGAACGGGUGAGUAACACGUGGGUGAUCUGCCCUGCACUUCGGGAUAAGCCUGGGAAACUGGGUCUAAUACCGGAUAGGAGCCAUUUUUAGUGUGAUGGUUGGAAAGUUUUUUCGGUGUAGGAUGAGCUCGCGGCCUAUCAGCUUGUUGGUGGGGUAAUGGCCUACCAAGGCGGCGACGGGUAGCCGGCCUGAGAGGGUGGACGGCCACAUUGGGACUGAGAUACGGCCCAGACUCCUACGGGAGGCAGCAGUGGGGAAUAUUGCACAAUGGGCGCAAGCCUGAUGCAGCGACGCCGCGUGGGGGAUGACGGCCUUCGGGUUGUAAACUCCUCUCGCUAGAGACGAAGCUUUUUGUGACGGUACCUAGAUAAGAAGCACCGGCUAACUACGUG